rnacentral:lncRNA from 1 species
GCUCGCGCGCGUCUUCGCGCACGCGAACCACCGCGCGCCGCUCGUCGCCGCCGUCGUCGUCGUCCGCCGCCUCGUCGUCUUCACCGGCGUCAGCGUCGCGUACGACGCCAGGAUCGUCGCCAGGAUCGCGGUGAAUAUCACCGCCAUGUCCGUCCACACGUCCCCGGUCGUCAUCGCGCGCGUCGUCGCGAUCGCGCGUCGCUCUGGCGUCUCGGCGUCGUCACUCUGGCGCGUCUCGAUCGUCGACGCGAUGAGCGGCAAGGCGCUCGCGAGCGACAGCGAAGACGACGACGUCGCCGUCCCGGCGAAGCGCGUCAACGACGUCGACGCCGCCGACGCGCCGCCGGCGAAGAAGGUGCGCCGCGCGCGACGCCGCGACGCGCGAACGACGGACCGACUGACGCUUUUUAAAUCAGACGGCGACGAAACCGACGACGAGCGACGCGCGCGAGGGCAAGAAGCCCGCGCGCGAGGACGACGACGACGACGACGAUAGCGACGCGGAUUCGGUCG